rnacentral:misc_RNA from 1 species
GAUGAAGAACGUAGCGAAAUGCGAUACUUGGUGUGAAUUGCAGAAUCCCGUGAACCAUCGAGUCUUUGAACGCAAGUUGCGCCCGAAGCCAUUAGGCCGAGGGCACGCCUGCCUGGGCGUCACACGUCGUUGCCCCCCCAUCUACUCUUUCGGGAUUGCGGGGGGCGGAUGAUGGCCUCCCGUGCGCCUCGUCGCGCGGUUGGCAUAAAUGCCAAGUCCUCGGCGACGCACGCCACGACAAUCGGUGGUUGCGAAACCUCGGUUGCCCGUCGUGUGCGGUCGUCGCGCAUCGAGGGCUCGAAAAAAUUGCCGGGCUCCGGCUCGGCUUUCAACGCGACCCCAGGUCAGGCGGGGUUACCCGCUGAAUUUAAGCAUAUCAAUAAGCGGAGGA